rnacentral:rRNA from 1 species
ACGGCUCAGUAACACGUAGUCAACCUAACCUAUGGACGGGAAUAACCUCGGGAAACUGAGAAUAAUGCCCGAUAGAACACUAUACCUGGAAUGGUUUGUGUUCCAAAUGAUUUAUCGCCAUAGGAUGGGACUGCGGCCUAUCAGUUUGUUGGUGAGGUAAUGGCCCACCAAGACUAUUACAGGUACGGGCUCUGAGAGGAGUAGCCCGGAGAUGGGUACUGAGACACGGACCCAGGCCCUAUGGGGCGCAGCAGGCGAGAAAACUUUGCAAUGUGCGAAAGCACGACAAGGUUAAUCCGAGUGAUUUGUGCUAAACGAAUCUUUUGUUAGUCCUAGAAACACUAACGAAUAAGGGGUGGGCAAGUUCUGGUGUCAGCCGCCGCGGUAAAACCAGCACCUCAAGUGGUCAGGAUGAUUAUUGGGCCUAAAGCAUCCGUAGCCGGCUCUGUAAGUUUUCGGUUAAAUCUGUACGCUUAACGUACAGGCUGCCGGGAAUACUGCAGAGCUAGGGAGUGGGAGAGGUAGACGGUACUCGGUAGGAAGUGGUAAAAUGCUUUGAUCUAUCGAUGACCACCUGUGGCGAAGGCGGUCUACCAGAACACGUCCGACGGUGAGGGAUGAAAGCUGGGGGAGCAAACCGGAUUAGAUACCCGGGUAGUCCCAGCUGUAAACUAUGCAAACUCAGUGAUGCAUUGGCUUGUGGCCAAUGUAGUGCUGCAGGGAAGCCGUUAAGUUUGCCGCCUGGGAAGUACGUACGCAAGUAUGAAACUUAAAGGAAUUGGCGGGGGAGCAC